AGGUCUAUACUGGGCGCCCGCUGCGUGCCAGGUACUGCCACCGGCUCUCUCCUCACGGUGGAAUAACUUAACAGAGAAGACAGACAUCAAUCAAAUACCCUGGAAACGUGGAAGGCAGGGGAAAGAACAAAGGGAGAGCAAAAUCGCCCCAAUCCCACAUCACCCGCGACGUGAAAGGAUUUGUCCUUCCAGCUGCGGGACUCCUAUUUGUUUAUUUCAACCCCGCGCCAGCUCCAGGCACAGCCGUUCAGGGUGAUGCCAAAGGGAAAUGAGAACGCCUGGUUUCGAGUGCCAGCCUGAGGCCCCUUAAGCCCUAGUGACCAAAACAAGCCACAUGACAAUCUGUCUUCAAGGGGACAGACAGUGCAAGUCUGUCACUGGUUUCUG
rnacentral:lncRNA from 1 species